AGUGAACGCUGGCGGUAGGCCUAACACAUGCAAGUCGAACGGCAGCACAGUAAGAGCUUGCUCUUACGGGUGGCGAGUGGCGGACGGGUGAGGAAUACAUCGGAAUCUACUUUUUCGUGGGGGAUAACGUAGGGAAACUUACGCUAAUACCGCAUACGACCUACGGGUGAAAGCAGGGGAUCUUCGGACCUUGCGCGAUUGAAUGAGCCGAUGUCGGAUUAGCUAGUUGGCGGGUUAAAGGCCCACCAAGGCGACGAUCCGUAGCUGGUCUGAGAGGAUGAUCAGCCACAGUGGAACUGAGACACGGUCCAGACUCCUACGGGAGGCAGCAGUGGGGAAUAUUGGACAAUGGGCGCAAGCCUGAUCCAGCCAUACCGCGUGGGUGAAGAAGGCCUUCGGGUUGUAAAGCCCUUUUGUUGGGAAAGAAAAGCAGCAGGUUAAUACCCCGCUGUUCUGACGGUACCCAAAGAAUAAGCACCGGCUAACUUCGUG
rnacentral:rRNA from 1 species